UACGUGGGGAGCAAGCGUUGUUCGGAUUUACUGGGCGUAAAGGGCGCGUAGGCGGCUCAACAAGUCACUUGUGAAAUCUCCGGGCUUAACCCGGAGCGGUCAAGUGAUACUGUCGUGCUAGAGUGCGGAAGGGGCUACUGGAAUUCUCGGUGUAGCGGUGAAAUGCGUAGAUAUCGAGAGGAACACCUGAGGCGAAGGCGGGUAGCUGGGCCGACACUGACGCUGAUGCGCGAAAGCCAGGGGAGCGAACGGG
rnacentral:rRNA from 1 species